GACGAACGCUGGCGGCGUGCUUAACACAUGCAAGUCGAACGAAGAGCGAUGGAAGCUUGCUUCUAUCAAUCUUAGUGGCGAACGGGUGAGUAACGCGUAAUCAACCUGCCCUUCAGAGGGGGACAACAGUUGGAAACGACUGCUAAUACCGCACACGAUCUAAUCUCGGCAUCGAGGAUAGAUGAAAGGUGGCCUCUACAUGUAAGCUAUCACUGAAGGAGGGGAUUGCGUCUGAUUAGCUAGUUGGAGGGGUAACGGCCCACCAAGGCGAUGAUCAGUAGCCGGUCUGAGAGGAUGAACGGCCACAUUGGGACUGAGACACGGCCCAGACUCCUACGGGAGGCAGCAGUGGGGAAUCUUCCGCAAUGGACGAAAGUCUGACGGAGCAACGCCGCGUGAGCGAUGACGGCCUUCGGGUUGUAAAGCUCUGUUAAUCGGGACGAAAGGCCUUCUUGCGAAUAGUGAGAAGGAUUGACGGUACCGGAAUAGAAAGCCACGGCUAACUACGUG
rnacentral:rRNA from 1 species